GGGAAUUUAGCUCAGUGGUAGAGCGCUUGCCUAGCAAGCACAAGGCCCUGGGUUCGAUCCUCAGCUCU
rnacentral:tRNA from 1 species